CCUACGGGGGGCAGCAGUGAGGAAUAUUGGUCAAUGGGCGCGAGCCUGAACCAGCCAAGUAGCGUGAAGGAUGACUGCCCUACGGGUUGUACACUUCUUUUAUAAAGGAAUAAAGUGAGACACGUGUGCCUUUUUGUAUGUACUUUAUGAAUAAGGAUCGGCUAACUCCGUGCCAGCAGCUGCGGUAAUACGGAGGAUCCGAGCGUUAUCAGGAUUUAUUGGGUUUAAAGGGAGCGUAGAUGGGUUGUUAAGUCAGUUGUGAAAGUUUGCGGCUCAACCGUCAAAUUGCAAUUGAUACUGGCAGUCUUGAGUACAGUUGAGGUAGGCAGAAUUCGUGGUGGAGCGGUGAAAUGCUUAGAUAUCACGAAGAACUCCGAUUGCGAAGGCAGCUUACUAAACUGCCACUGACAUUGAUGCUCGAAAGUGUGGGUAUCAAACAGGAUUAGAUACCCUUGUAGUC
rnacentral:rRNA from 1 species